rnacentral:rRNA from 1 species
CCUACGGGAGGCAGCAGUGAGGAAUAUUGGUCAAUGGGCGAGAGCCUGAACCAGCCAAGUCGCGUGAAGGAUGACGGCCCUACGGGUUGUAAACUUCUUUUGUCAGGGAGCAAUUGAGUCCACGUGUGGGCUUAGCGAGAGUACCUGAAGAAAAAGCAUCGGCUAACACCGUGCCAGCAGCCGCGGUAAUACGGAGGAUGCGAGCGUUAUCCGGAUGUAUUGGGUUUAAAGGGUGCGUAGGCGGAAUAUCAAGUCAGCGGUAAAAAUUCGGGGCUCAACCCCGUCGUGCCGUUGAAACUGAUGGUCUUGAGUGGGCGAGAAGUAUGCGGAAUGCGUGGUGUAGCGGUGAAAUGCAUCGAUAUCACGCAGAACUACGAUUGCGAAGCCAGCAUACCGGCGCCCAACUGACGCUGAAGCACGAAAGCGUGGGUAUCGAACAGGAUUAGAUACCCUAGUAGUC